CCUGAUCCAGCAAUGCCGCGUGAGUGAAGAAGGCCUUCGGGUUGUAAAGCUCUUUUGUCAGGGAAGAAACGGUAGUAGCGAAUAACUAUUACUAAUGACGGUACCUGAAGAAUAAGCACCGGCUAACUACGUGCCAGCAGCCGCGGUAAUACGUANGGUGCAAGCGUUAAUCGGAAUUACUGGGCGUAAAGCGUGCGCAGGCGGUUGUGUAAGUCAGAUGUGAAAUCCCCGGGCUCAACCUGGGAAUUGCAUUUGAGACUGCACGGCUAGAGUGUGUCAGAGGGGGGUAGAAUUCCACGUGUAGCAGUGAAAUGCGUAGAUAUGUGGAGGAAUACCGAUGGCGAAGGCAGCCCCCUGGNAUAACACUGACGCUCAUGCACNAAAGCGUGGGGAGCAAACAGGAUUAGAUACCCUGGUAGUCCACGCCCUAAACGAUGUCUACUAGUUGUCGGGUCUUAAUUGACUUGGUAACGCAGCUAACGCGUGAAGUA
rnacentral:rRNA from 1 species